CAAAUUUCCUAGGAGUAUUUUGUGAGUCAAAAGAGGGUUAGGAACCCCUCACCCCAAAACAAGUCCUCACUUGAGAGAAAUACCACCUCUGUUUCUUACCGCCAAGCAGAGCCCUGUUAACACAUUCUUCAAUGCACACAGACUUAUGAGGGUGUCUCCAGGCACCUGAGAGUCAGUCAGUCCUAAAAGGAAUUCUUCACUGUCACCAACGGGCUCUGGGUCUCCAUGGUCAUGGAGUCUCCUGGGCAUGCCUUCUGGAAACUGUUACCACCUACACUCCCUCCUUCAACAGACAGGCUAGGCUUGGAAUGUGGCUCAGGUCAGAAAGGCCUUCACUUAGUGAAGGGGCAGGAAAGUUUUCCCAGAGGAGGUGGCCCAUGAGUAGGAGUCGGGAGGACUAGAAGAGAAGGUGUUCCAAAGGCGCUUGUGCAAGGGAAAUGUGGGGGACGGAGCUCAGUUCAUGGUGGUUUCAAAGCAUAGCAGGGGUACAUUAUUCUGAGAUGUCACUGGCAUUUACUGCCUCCCAACUCCUGCCACCCAUCCCACCAUGCAACAUCUCAAAAGACCCGUCACUUCCAGGGCCUGUGCGGCUCCCCUAAAUCGCGAUUUCUCUCCGUUUCCGUAGACAGAUCUGCAGUCACUCGCCGAGAGCAGGGUGAGGCUGGGUCUGGUGAAUCCCUCCUUUCAUUCUUCACACCCGGCGUGUCCGCACAGCUCUGGACAGGGGCCUUGCUGGACACGGUUUUAUCGCAGUUCCCUGCAACCCAUGGUUCACCGUCAAGUGUACCCGCAGGAGCUGCUGCUACUCCCCCAGAGGCCGCCCCCCCAGAGAGCGAACGGUUGAGACCGGAGACCGGGCUGCCGGCCAGGUUAGCCACCCGCUCCUGUGCAACCUCCGGCCAGCUGGGCCAGGGAUUGCCAGGUGGAAUCAGCUGCACGCCUUCACUCUCAGAGACCUCUAUUUUCUGCGAAGAACUGAGCGCCUAAACCGUGCUCUGCACAGGAGCUCUUCUGCUUCCUGCCCUUCCACGAGUUUCUAUCCCCUGGGAGUUUUUAUACCAUCAGACCUCUGCACUUGCUCUUCCCGCCGCCUGGAAUCCUUUCCUCUCUCCUCCCGGCCAGCACCGACCUAUGGCAGCCCUCCCGUUCCAACUCAAACGCCGUCACGUCCGAAAGCGGCGCCUCUUCCCCUCAGCCCCUUCCUUCUCCGCGCUUCAGCUCGCCGUCACGCUGUGCAGGCCUCGUGUCUGCGUCGCCUCCCCUCGCGGAUCCGGAACGCCUCCAGGGCAGGGUCCGCGCGUGAGGGCUCUCUAGUUCCCUAGCUCAGGGCGCGCCCCGGCCGGAGGGUCCGUCGGCGACGUCGGUCACUUCCGGACGCGGUCUCGGCGCCGAGGGGUUAAGGGCACCGACCGGGCGGCCGGCCGAGAGCGCGCGCAUGGGCGUGGGGGAAGCUGCCCCGGAGGCCGCGACCUCCGCCCCGGGUCACGGCGGCGGACGUAGGUGAGAACUUCUGGUGCGGCCCUGGGGCGGCUUUCCCAGCACAUCUGCGCGGCUUUCUCCACACCCCCACCCCUACCCCCACCGCAACCCCCAUCCCACCCCCACCUCCACCCCCGGCGGACGCUCUUAGCGCGAUCUGGGGAGUCCCCGCCGCGGCCGCCCGCCGACGUCACGGAGUCCCCCAGAGGCCCCGCCCCGGUCGCGCCUCCUUCCUUGGGAGAGGCGCGCGGUGCGGGCGGGACAGCGGCGAUGGCGGGGUCCGGGCCCCUCGGCGUGCCGAACGCCCGCUGGAAACGCCACAUAGUGCGGCAGCUUCGGCAGCGGGACCGCGCGCAGAAGGCCCUCUUCCUGGAGCUGGUGCCGGCCUAUAACCGUCUCCUAGAGAAGGCUGAGUUGCUGGCCUGGAUCUCAGAGAAGCUGCAGCCAGAGCCAAAUGAUGUCACUCCCACUACCCUGCAGGGCCCCUGGGAGGAGGACUCGGGGCCUGACUCAGAUGAAAUCCCAUCACCAACCACUCUGAGGAUGAAGUGGCAAGAGGAGGAGGAGGGGCUCCGGCGGGUCUGUGGUGAGAUGGCCUACCAGGUAGUGGAGAAGAGCGCUGCCCUGGGCGCCCUGGAGUCGACGCUGGAGGAGCGGCAAAGCAGGCUGGCAGCUCUGGAGGCGCACGUGGCGGAGCUGCAGGAGGCGAGGGCGCGGCACGCGCGGCAAGUGGACGCACAGCGGGAGCUGAACGCAGCGCAGCGGGCAGCCUACGAGGCGCUGCGCGCGCACGCCAGGCUCCAGGAGGCGGCCCUGCGCAGGCUGGAGGAGGAGGCGCGGGACCUGCUCGAACGGCUCGUGCAGCGCAAGGCGCGCGCCGCCGCGGAGCGCAACCUUCGCCUUGAGCGCCUCGAGAAGGCCAAGCAGGCUCAGGUGUCCUUGGAGCUGAAGAAGGCUGCCAAGCGGACAGUUAGCAUCAGCGAGAAACAGCAGGCCUGCCCAUCGCACGUGCGCCCACACCAACCUCUCUUCACCGUGUUGUGUGCUGGAGGCAGGGGUGCUGGUCCCUUGACUUUCCUGAGUUUCACUCCCUCUCCCAGGAGCCCACACAGUGUAAGCCAGGGGAUCAGAGAGGAGGCUGAGACUCUGGCCCCGACUGCUGAGCCCCUAUCCCUGAAGAGUGAGGCUGGUGACAAGUGGAAGAGACCCUUCAGAUCUGCCUCUGCCACCUCCCUGACACUCUCCCGCUGUGUGGAUGUGGUGAAGGAGCUUCUGGAUUUCAAGAAGAGGAGAGGCCACUCGGUUGGGGGAGCUCCUGAGCAGCGAUAUCAGAGCAUCCCUGUGUGUGUGGCUGCCCGACCUCCUACCCAAGUGCAGGAUGUGCUGGAUGCCCACCUCUCCGAGGUCAAUGCUGUUUGUUUUGGUCCCAGCAGCAGCCUCCUGGCCACCGGAGGGGCUGACCGCCUCAUCCAGCUCUGGAAUGUUGUGGGAGGUCGUCUGGAGGCCAACCAAACCCUUGAAGGAGCUGGUGGCAGCAUCACCAGUGUGGACUUCGACCCUUCGGGCUCACAGGUAUUAGCAGCUACUUACAAUCAGGCCGCCCAGAUCUGGAAGGUGGGGGAGGUACAGUCCAAGGAGACACUGUCUGGACACACAGACAAGGUGACGGCUGCCAAAUUCAAGCUAACGAGGCAUCAGGCGGUGACUGGAAGCCGAGACCGGACGGUGAAGGAGUGGGACCUCGGUCGUGCCUACUGCUCCAGGACCAUCAAUGUCCUUUCCUACUGUAAUGAUGUGGUAUGUGGGGACCAUGUCAUCAUUAGUGGCCACUAUGACCAGAAGAUCCGGUUCUGGGACAGCAGGGUCCCCUGCUGCACCCAGGUCAUCCCUGUGCAGGGCCGGGUCACCUCCCUGAACCUCAGCUAUGACCAGCUGCAUCUGCUCAGCUGUUCCCGAGAUGACACGCUCAAGGUUAUUGACCUUCGUGUCAGCAAUAUCCGCCAGGUGUUCAGGGCUGAUGGCUUCAGGUGCGGUUCUGAUUGGACCAAAGCUGUGUUCAGCCCGGACAGAAGCUAUGCGCUGGCAGGUUCCUGGGAUGGAGCCCUUUACAUCUGGAAUGUAGACACCGGCAAGCUGGAGGGUAGUCUGCGGGGACCCCACUGCACUGCUAUCAACGCUGUGGCCUGGUGUGCCUCGGGGAGCCAUGUGGUGAGCGUGGACCAGGCCAGGAAGGUCGUGCUCUGGCGCUAGUGUCAUGACUCUUCCUGCCCGGGCUGAAGCUUGAGUCUGAAGCCCAAACCCAGAGGACAGCUUCCCACUGCUCACAGGACUCCAGACAUUCAGGUAGCAGAAGCCUUUGGGCUGGUGGCUCAAGGACACCUGGGCUUGGCCCCCUUCCUCCUGCUGCAGAGCUGGGGCAGAGCCAGUCUGGCCUCACUGCUGUUCACGUCUGAGGAGACAGCAUGAAGAAAGGCUCACAGGCAGCAAAGGGCAGUGGCUCUUGGAGCCAUGGGAAUUUCACCCUUGGGCCAAGCUGGUCCAGAGACCAAGCCAACACCUUGGGCCCUCCUACUUCAGGCACCCGGAGCAGGCUGAGGCUGUGGAGGGGGUGGUUGGGAGCUCCAAGGAAGGAGCACGAGAAACAGCCCGGAGGGGCUCUGGUGGAAAGGGUCCUAACAAAUCAGAGAGUGAUGUCAAGUACUUAGUACACCAGGCCUGUCUUUAGAUGGGGGCACAUUCUCGCUCCAGAGGUGGAGCCCAGAAAGUGGGGGGAAUGGUCUGUACAGGUCUGAGUGUUGGGGAAGACAGCUGUGGGCUGGGCCUGGGUUAGGACUUCACUUAUGGGGGUACCACAAGCCUCUGGAGUAUAAGGCAGACCCAGCAGGGCAGAGCCUGGGUGCCCGUCUGUCAGCCUCGGGCUUGGAGGAGUCAUCAGUAGGACAGCCACUGCCAGUUACUGAAGGGACUUCUGUCCCCGAGUGCUAGGACCUUACUGUGGAGUGCUGCUCAUCUGAGAUUCAAAGGCUUUACUCUGCAAUUCUCAGUGUCCUACUUUAUGACCUUCCAAAGUCUCCUGGGGGUCAUUGCCCUUUCCAGGGUUUGGAAGCCAUUCCCAGGAUGAGCAGUAGGCCGCUGAGAGCUUGAACUCCACAGCCAGGCUGUCUGUGUCAGAGUCACAGCCCACUGUUCAGUAGCUGGGUGAUUUUAAGCCAGUUCCUUAACACCUUUGUGCCUUAGUUUCCUUCUCUGUGAAAGGGGGAAAUAGUAGUACUCGCCUCAGAGGGUGCCUAGGUGGCGCAGUCCAAGUGUCUGCCUCUUUGUUUCCAUUCAGGUUGUGAUCUUGGGGUUGUGAGAUGAAGCCCUGCAGCAGACUCUGCGCUCAGCAGUCAGCUUGAUUCAUUCUCCCUCCCUCUCUGCCCCUUCCCCCUUCCUAUUCACACACUGUUUCUCUCUCUCAAAAAAAAAAAAAAAAAAAAAAAGUACUCACCUCAGAACGUACUGUAUGGACUCCAGGUAUUAGCAUCUGUAAAGCUCUUAGCACAGGCCAAAAAGGACGUGUUGAUUAAAUACCCAGUCUACACUCUGCUGACUCUCCGGUCACUGCUCUUGCCCCAGCUGUCCCCUGGGUUCUAGGUGACAUACCUACCUGCCUCCCAGACAUCAUCUCCCCUGACAGAAGUUUCUUCCCCUCCUGCCCCACAUACCCCGGCACCAGGGGCUGGAGUGUCUAACUUUAACCUAGCUGCAACGCAGGCCCCCCUCUAGUCUUGCUGUGUCUCCAGCCAGGCCCCUUGUCGUGGCGAGUGACUUUCCAGGGUAUCCUGGUCACAGAUACAACCCUUUCAAGCUCCCAGGCUGCCUGCAGAGAAGCUGCUUGGCAUUAAAUCCAAACCCUUUAGGAGUGAGCCUGCUGACCUCAGCUGCAUUUUCAUUUCCUUGCUACUCUGAAUGUGCUUUGCACAUUGAUUUUUCUCUCUGCCCAGAAUGUUCUUCCCUCCCAGCCCCCAAUUCAAAUGUGUCCUUUGGGAUAAUCUCACUGAGAGCCUUUCCUCACUUACCAGGCUGGCCAGGGGCCUCCUCUCUCCUUAUGUUCCUCUUUGUGUCUCGUUCCCUCCAUUUUCAGUCAGGGAGCUCUUAGAAGAAGCCAGGAUGGGAACAGAGUAAUUUCUGGGAUUAGGCCGGGCCAGAGAGAGCCUUGGGAAAUGUCUAUUAAAUGGCUAACUCAGCAAGUCUAACAGCUGCAGAUGCUAGGAGUCCAGUAUUUUCCAGCCUCAGCCCCUGAGGCCCACCCCCUUGUCCUGGCUCCCACUGGCCACCAGGAGUCACCAGCUGCUUAGUGUCUGCUGAGCCAUUCUCCAGUCUCCUGGGAUUCAUGGCUGGAAAAGCCAGUCCUUCCAAUAGCCACCAGUACUGCAUGCUUAUAUGUCAGGCACAGUGCUCUACUUUUCAGGCAGUGUCUUACUUGUUUCUCUCAAGCUCCUUGGGAGGUAGUUUCUUUCUUUCAUAGGUGAUAAAAUUGACACUCAGAUGAAGUAUUGUGAGAUCACACAGCUGGCGCAGCUAGAUCAUGACUUUUUUUUUUAAAACAACAAAAUAACAUUUUGAGAAUCUGGGAUCCCUGUUAUGCAGGGCACCCUGCCCCACCCUCUGUACCCAAGCUGUGUGUGCCCUGCUGCCACCAUUACGGGGGGAUUCUAGCCUUGUGUCUAACCCUAAAGCCCUCCCUGUGUCCUCUUUUUUUUUCCCAUUCUGGGAUCUGGUCACCUAGGCCUGAUUAUGGAGGGUCAGGGUCCCUUGAAGUGUGGGGCAUGCAGGGCCACAAGAGUGAGCUGAAUUUGAAUCCCAGGAGGCUGUUACCAUCUACACCACUUGGGACAGGGACCUCAUGGAGGUGAAGACAGCUGUGAAGGGCUUAGGUAAUCUAGAAAAAGGUGUUCUGAAAUGAUGGACUCAGCUCUGGGGGCCCCAGCCCCUCUGCUUCCUGUAAGUGUUCCCUUCUUCAUGGGCCAAUCUGACAGCACACCCUUGGGGCACAGUUGCUUCUCCUCAGGGAGCACAUGCACAGCUCAGCUUGCUUGGAAGGAAUGCUUCCUGGAGGAGCAAGUCUGGAAGGGCCAGUGAAAGGCCAAGGCAUUCCAGGGAAGGGGUGGGUAUGGAGGAGGAGGGGCUGGCAAGGAAUGAACAGGGGGAGCUCAGAGGAGAGGCAGCUGGGAAGGCUGCCCCUCCACCUAGCCUUUGAAGUUGGUUGCAGAGAGGGUGAGGAGAGUCCUGGGGCUAAAAGCCUCUGUAGGCCUUCAGUAUCCUCUGCCUUAUAGGUCUGCAUUCCUUCCAGGUUUUCAGUCCUCAGGUACUCGGGCUGCCUGCCUGAGUUGGGUCUCUAAUGACAAAACUGAAAUGGCCUUUCCCUUGCUGUGCACAUGGGCUGAGGCCAAGAGAGGGGCCAGGGUCCUGUGCAGGGUCACACAGCAGAGGUGGGAUAAAAACCCAGGACUCCCUCUUUUCUGAAAACUGCCCUCAGGUUCUGAGAGAGGGGCUGGCCUGGUCUGUCCCAGGCUCUGCUCCCAGUGGUCUUCUACCAAGAGACCUUGGGCAAGUCAGUGUCUUCCGGGGUCGGGGAGGAGGAUUUUCCUCACCCGUGACACUUGCCGUCCCAGAGCUCUGGGCCUCACCACAGGUGACACAGCUCUUCUCUGGGGCUGGUCUGCCGGCAGGAGUACUGCCUUCUCUGUCUGCCCCGGCUAAUCAGGCUUGAGUGAGCCUAAGACUUGACAGGGAGAAACAACCAGAAGCCCUCAUUCUGGGCUCCUCCUGCCCCUUGGUCAUGUCGCUGGAAGACACACCUUAGCUGGAGUCUACUAUUCCUGAGUCUUCCCCACCAGAUGUGAGACCCUUGGUGAUGGGGAUGAGAUCUGAGUCAUUUAGGUCUCCAGUGCCCAGAACAAGACCUGGGCAGUUUGAAUUUGAUAUCCAGUAGGGAUUGAAUAGAGGUGGUCACGGCCUUCAAGAAGUU